AAAUGAAUUGACGGGAGCCCGCACAAGCAGUGGAGUAUGUGGUUUAAUUCGACGCAACGCGAAAAACCUUACCGGGGAUUGACAUCUGCAGAAGGUGACGUAACGGUUACUGUGCCCUUCGGGGAACUGCAAGACAGGUGGUGCAUGGUUGUCGUCAGCUCGUGUCGUGAGAUGUUGGGUUAAGUCCCGCAACGAGCGCAACCCUUACAGUCAGUUGCUACGCAAGAGCACUCUGGCAGGACUGCCGUUGACAAAACGGAGGAAGGUGGGGACGACGUCAAAUCAUCAUGCCCCUUAUAUUCCGGGCCACACACGUACUACAAUGGCGCAAACAAAGGGAAGCGACCCCGCGAGGGUGAGCCAAUCCCAUAAAAGGCGUCCCAGUUCGGACUGCAGGCUGCAACUCGCCUGCACGAAGUUGGAAUUGCUAGUAAUCGCGGAUCAGCAUGCCGCGGUGAAUACGUUCCCGGGCUUUGUACACACCGCCCGU
rnacentral:rRNA from 1 species